UACAAAUUUUUACAAAUAUAAUAAAUUAUAAGAAUAAUUGCCUAUAUACCCUUCGUGCACCUGAAAAUAUCCAAUCUAUCCGUACUUUUUUUUUUCUUUCUAAAAUAUCCCUCAUAUGUUCCACCGUUAUUGCAAAAUACCCCCACAGUUAUCUUCUGUUAAAUUAACCUGAGUUAAACGUGAGUUAAAUAUCUAUCACAGUUAAAAAAAAUUAAAAUACCAAUUUUACCCUUAACUUAACGGCAAAUAAGAAAGGUUGGUUACGGUAGAGGGGUAUAUUGAAAAAGACAAAAAGUUGAAAUACUUUUUGUGCCCCUGACUUUAAGGGCAAAUAAAAAAGACAAUGAUGGUGGAAGGGUAUAUUUGAAAAGGACAAAAUAGUAUUUUUAUAGAGAUAACAAGUGUUACUUAACAGAUUUUAACUCUAAGGGUAUAUUAGAAAUAAAUUGGAACGUAGGAGGGGUAUUUUCAAUAUUAGCCUUCCAAGAGGAAUAAAUUGAAAAGUCGGAAACUUUUCAGGAGUAUAUAAGAAAUUGCCCCAUUAUUAUAAAUAUAUUCAUAUAAAAUUUAAUUUUUAUAUAUUAUUUUUAUAAAAGUCUUAAUAUUCUUAAACAUAUCUUUCUGAUUUGUUAUCGUUACUAUUUAUUUUAUAAAUGAAAUGACCUUUUAAGAUAAUAAAUAUGUUCUUUCAAAAAUCCCAACCAUUAAUUGAAGAAUAAAAAGGCCAAUUCACCUCAUUAACUAAUUAGGAUUAAAUAUUUUACUUACAAAUUCUAACGACAAGAAUAUAUUUGAAAAUAUUAGAACUUUUAUAGAGACAACAUAUGAAAAUUAAAUUUUAUAGAAAUAUAUUUAUAAUUUACUAUAUUUGUAGGGAAUUGUACGCAAUUAACUCUUGUUUG
rnacentral:lncRNA from 1 species